GCGGGCAGCCUAACGGACUCCUGGUCGGUGGGCCCCUAUCGCACAACCCAAUAAAGAGAAGGUGGGGACCACGAUGCGGCGAUCCGAGGGCGAUUUCGUGCGCUCCUCCCCUUACCGGCGAGCUCGUCGGUCUGGCCCCGCUCUGGUGACCGCUGCGGCCAUCGAAGAUGCGGUGGAUUGCGGCUCCUCAUCUGUGAGCGGGACGGGUGUGUGGAAGAGGGCUCCCGCCGGCGAGAAGGUCCCCUCCCUUCUCAAUUUGGCACCGCUUAGGGGUCAAGUUCUGGGUUGUGGCGAUGAAGCGGUGGCGGCGACGCGGCAGCAGACAUGGUGGUUCCGGCCCUCCAUCCGCCUUGACGGCGCGUGCUCCGGUGCCAGCGAGGGGCCAGUAAAGCUUGGUUUGAGCGAUUUGGGAGCAACCAUCCUCAACCUCGACGACGACGCAUCUGACCUCGGUGGCAGCGAUGUCUACUGGUACAGUCUCUUCCCCUUCUCUGGCGCUUGCUGGUUUGUAGAGGAGACUCGACCCCGGUGGCGGCAACUGACGGCGACGACGGAGGUGGCGGCGGUUGUUGAGGAUUGGAGAUUCAUCCUGAAGGGUCUUGUAGUUCUUAGUUUAUCUAGGGUUGGUAGGUUUCGUCCUAGCGGGUCUAGGGUUAGGUUUCUGGCUGGCUUGGUGCUGGUUCGGCCGGAUCUAGGGUUUGCCGGGGGAUGCCAGUCCUCAGCGGCUUGCUUUUCCUGGCGUCAUCGGCGAGGCUGAGGUGGCGAUGGUGCAGAGGAAUAACAUCUUCCGACCUCUUCCUCGCCCCUGUGACGUUCUGCUCUGGCAUCAACGGAGAGGUUGCGGAGAUCCUCUUAGGAGUCUUCGGCUGGCGGCUCAUCGUCUUGACAGGAGUCUUCUGGCCAUUUGCUCGACGAUUGUGCGACAUUUGCGAUGUAGUGGUAGUGGUUUGUGUUGGAAGGUAUGUGGAUCUAGCGUUCCCUUUUGUCGUUUACAGGCGAUGUGCUCAGAUCCAAGACUAAGACAGAGUGGGGUGCGUCCCCAGCCGUUGUGUUCCAUUGGUUGUUUCAAGGCCUUGGCGCCAUGGUGCUUGUCUUGGUAUGCGGUGGCCAACUAUCUUUGGAUGGCAGUUCAGGAGGAUGCAGAGCCCCAUAGGGUCCUCUGUGUCAGUUUGGUGUCACCUCCUUGUUGUAUGCAUCGGUUGUACAUCUAGAUGUACGUUUUUCCUUACAAUCUAGAUGUAAAAAAACACAGAUCAGGAGUAAAAUGGUUUUUUUACCUGUCACUCAUAUUUGACGGAAGGACAGGGAAGGAAAAAAACAAAAACAGGUCUGAUAGGGAACUUCAGAUUCUGGAGGUCAAUGAAGAAAGCGACGUUUCUUUUGAGGGCA